rnacentral:lncRNA from 1 species
GUGAAAUUAACUCUGAGGCAGCCAGAGUAUAUGGAUUAAAACUGUUUUUCAACCUUCAACAGAUUUCAGCAAAGGUUCUGCUACAUCCUCUUGCUUCCUCUCCUUUCUUGUUAGAAUGUUUGAGGAUUUUUUUUAUUUUUUUUUUUUUCAGUCACAAUCUUUUCUGAGAUGUUUCCUGAGAUAUUAUUAUGGAGAAGUAAUGUAGAUGAUAAAAAAGCAUGAAAAAGUGUUCAAAAAGAAGUGGAAAAAGAUCAGCAGCAGGACCCCACCACCCCCAUGCAACAGAGGUUCAAAGAUGCUGCAUUCCUUGUGCUGUGCCACCAGCUCUGGCUGCCAGCGUGCCCUCUGAUGACUUUCUUUAAUCCUCUUUCUUGCAUAGAUGGGGACCAGAACCUAUGGAAACAACAACUGCAAGUGGAAAUCCAUGUGGAGAGAAGUACCUGCAUAUCCGUUCUAUUGAAAUGUUUCCAACAAAACCAAAAGGAUGUUGUGGCCAAAUGCCUGCAGUGUCUGUCAUCUGCCUCAUGAAACUGCAGUCUGCUGAGAUAUUCCUGCCUGCUGGUGGGAGAAGAAAGGGACUGAGUCAGUAAGAGGCAGCCACCUACACCUGUACUUAAGGGAGAAUCACUUAUAUCUUAGGAUAUCAACACCAGAUUUUCCAAACAAACAAACUGAUAGUUCACUUUCUUAUCUACACAUUUAGACGUGACAUUUCUCUGUAACUCACUUGCAGUGUUUUGUUUUGGGUAUUCAUUUCAUCACAUUGGUGUUAGAUUUAAGGGUUUUUUCAUAUGGAGGUACACAACAAAACUGUGAACUUGCAGAGAUUAUCAUUCACACAGUAUGAAACCACUGCAGAAGCAAGCAGAUAAAACAUCAUAAACAUUUCUGAACAAUACGCAGUUCAAUUCUCUGUCCUUAUGUUAACUGUGCCCUUAGCUGAAUGUCAGUCUUCCACUGGAGAAGCCAAAAAAAAUGUUACUGUUGUGCAUAUCUUUUUUGUGGUACUCUCUAGCUAGCUACAACCUCUGACUACCGAACCUACAAGUUAAGUACAUUAUGUUGUUGGAUGCAUCUGGCCCCAUGAAUUUACAAACCAAGAAUAUACUGUGUUAAAGCAAUCAAAAAAAUGCACUUUCUGCUGUGGGUGGGUUUUGCUGACUCACUUGGUUUGGUUGCUGUGAGUAAUGAUAGCACCUUAAGAACUUCAGAAACAGUAAACUAACAUUUCUCAUCACUUUCAUUUUUAUAGAAAUAAAUGUUUUAAGACCAGUAAAAUUAAAAUGUAA